AGAAGAUGUGAAGGGCAUGUAGUGGAUGCCUUGGCACCAGCAGGCGAUGAAGGACGUGGCAAGCUGCGAUAAGCCCCGGAAAGCCGCAAGCAGGCGCUGAUCCGGGGAUUUCCGAAUGGGGUAACCUGAUGCGGGUCAUGCCGCAUCGUUCCGCUCCGAAUCAAAUAGGAGCGGAGACGCAAGACCGCCUGAAGUGAAACAUCUCAGUAGGGCGAGGAAAAGAAAGCGAAAGCGAUUCCGUCAGUAGUGGCGAACGAAAGCGGAGCAGCCCAAACCGGGGGGAUUCCUCCCGGGGUUGUAGGGGCCCAAUGUGGCAGGUGAAAAGCUAGGUCAAGCGGAUGGAAAGCCGCUCCAAAGAGGGUGAGAGACCCGUGACCGAAAGCCGGACACCGCCUAGGGAUUCCCUGAGUAAUGCGACACACGUGAAACUUCGCAUGAAACUGUGCCGACCACGGCAUAAGGCUAAAUACUCGCUGGUGACCGACAGUGAACAAGUACCGCGAGGGAAAGGUGAAAAGAACCGCCGUGAGCGAAGUGAAAAAGUACCUGAAACCACAUGCCCGCAAGGUGUCAGAGCCCGCAAGGGUGAUGGCGUGCCUUUUGCAAAAUGAGUCUGCGAGUCAGUCUGUGUGGCAAGCCUAAGCCCUUCUGGGGUGGAGGCGGAGCGAAAGCGAGUCCGAACAGGGCGCUAAGUCGCACGGGCUGAACCCGAAGCGGUGGUGAUCUACCCAUGGCCAGGUUGAAGCGUCCGUAAAAGGGCGUGGAGGACCGAACUGGUGGACCUUGAGACGUCCUCGGAUGAGUUGUGGGUAGGGGUGAAAGGCCAAUCAAACCCCGUAAUAGCUGGUUCUCCCCGAAAUGUAUUUAGGUGCAGCGUCAAGCGCUGAUCGAGGGGGGUAGAGCACUGAAUGAGCUAGGGGGCACACCCGCCUACCAAACUCAAUCAAACUCCGAAUACCCUUGAGUGCAGCUUGGCAGUAAGACUGUGGGGGAUAAGCUUCAUAGUCGAAAGGGAAACAGCCCAGCCCGGCAGCUAAGGUGCCAAAACAACGCUCAGUGGAAAGGAAGUGGGAUUUCAUUGACAGUGAGGAUGUUGGCUUAGAAGCAGCCACCAUUUAAACAGUGCGUAAUAGCUGACUCAUCGAGAGGUCCCGCGCCGAAAAUGAUUGGCGAUCAAGCGUUGUACCGAAGCUCCGGACUGCAUGAGCCGAGGCUCGUGCUUUGGUAGGGGAGCGUUCCGUGGGCGUCGAAGCGGGAAGGCGACUGACCGUGGAGCUCACAGAAGUGAGGAUGCAGACAUAAGUAACGUUAAGACGUGUGAAAUCCACGUCCGCCGUAAACCCAAGGUUUCCUGGGCAACGACCUUCGUCCCAGGGUUAGUCGGGAGCUAAGUCCAGGCCGAGAGGCGUAGGCGAUGCACAGCGGGUCAACAUUCCCGCACCGGUGAUGGUUAAAGCAAAGGUUAGCGUUGGAGGAGAAGGCACGCCGGCUGAAAGUGGCGGAAGGGUGAGGACUUGUCCGAUCCCGGUCUUUUGAAUCCGGCGCCGAGAAAAGCCUCUGCCCCUUUCCAUCGCCGCCCGUACCGCAAACCGACACAGGUGGGUGGGUAGAAUAUACCAAGGCGCAAGAGUGAAACCCCGUUAAGGAACUCUGCAAUCUAGUCCCGUAACUUCGGGAGAAGGGAUGCCCUCCUUGGAGGGCCGCAGUGAAAAGGCCCAACCGACUGUUUAUCAAAAACACAGCACUCUGCCAAGACGAAAGUCCAAGUAUAGGGUGUGACACGUGACCAAUGCGGAAAGAUUAAGGCAAGGGGUCAGCCGCAAGGCGAAGCUCUGAACCCAAGUCCCCGUGAAUGUCGGCCGUAACUAUAACGGUCCUAAGGUAGCGAAAUUCCUUGUC
rnacentral:rRNA from 1 species